ACAAGCAAUGGAUGUUCCCAAACCAGAGAAGUUCAAAGGUGUAAGAUCCGCGAGAGAGUGGACAACUUCUUAUGGGAAAUGGAGCAAUACUUCCGAGCGAUGGGCAUCGACGAUGAUGCAAUUAAGGUAAACACUGCUUCAAUCUAUUUUACUGAUGUGGCUCUCUUGUGGUGGCAUCAUAGGUCCACGGAUGAGAAACAUGGAGGGAACACAAUUGGGACUUAGGAGGAGUUCCAAAGAGAGUUGAGGAAGCAGUUUUACCCACAGUAUGCUAAGAAGGAGGCUCGGGCUAAGUUGCGCCAUCUCACGCAACAAGGCACUAUUCGGGAGUAUGUUCGGGCAUUUAAUGAGUUGAUGCUUCAAAUCUCUAACUUGAGCGAGAAAGAAGCGUUCUACUGGUUCAAGGAUGGGUUAAAGCCGUGGGCAAAGCAAGAGUUGCGUUGUUAAGGAAUCACCAAACUUCUUGUAGCCAUGGUUGAAGCAGAGUCCUUUGUUGAACUUUGUCUAACGAAAGACAAGUUUGAAUCAUCUCAGCCCAAUGGAAAGGGCAGUGGUGAGAGAAACCCUGAAGAAGAUGAAGAGGGACAUAGCGAUGAUGGCCAUAGUACUGAUAGCACAAGUGGCAGUAAGAAACCAUGAGAUGCGAAGUGGAGAACUAAUAGCACAAGUGGCAAUGAGAGACCACGAGAUGCGAAGCAGGGAUCUAACAGCCCAAGGGACAAGGGGAAGAGAAUAAAAUGAUUCAUUUGUCAAGGACCACACAUGCUGUGAAAAUGUCCGAAGAGAUCAAUGAUGUCGGCUAUCCAAACAAAAGAUGAGCCGAAAGAAGAGGCGAAACCUGUGGAGGGAAGAACAUCGAGGGUCGGUUCGAUGGUUCUUAUUCCUAACAAAAGGAAUAGUAGAGAGGGUUGAUUUUUGUGGACAUCAACAUUGCAGGUCAGAAGCGGAGUGCUCUUAUUGAUAUGAGAGCGUCGGACUUGUUCAUAUCAGAAAAGGCUGCCAAGAAGCUUGGUCUAUCGAUUAGGAAAUUGAAUAAAAAGAUCAAGAUAGUAAAUUCUUAGGAGGCCCCAACUGUGGGAGUAGCUCGUAAUGUAGAGCCACAAAUCAGUGAAUGGAAAGGCAAGGAAGACUUCGAGGUAAUCCAAUUAGAUGAUUACAAUUAUGUGCUUGGUUUGAACUUCCUUGACAGGAUUCAGACAGUGUUGUUUCCAUGGGCCUAUGAAAUCUAUAUUGUCACUGGUCCGUCGUCAAAGAUUGUUUACCAGUACAUCAAGAUAUAAAGGUUGGGACCAAGGUUUUGUCGUCAAUUCAACUAGUCGAAGAUGUUUCAUAUGGGGGAAGCAUUAACUCGAUAGAACAGAAUGUUUCGAAAGCCCCUUCAAAAAAGUCAUGCGAAAGCAGUCAAGACGAGUGAAUGCCACAAGUAAGGUACAUUGCAAACACACUGAUAGUGUUUUGAGUUCUGACUUGUUGGCUUGGCAAGAUUGUAGGGGCCCUUUCAAAGUUCGUAAGCAAGAAGGCCAAGGGACUGUGGGAGAACGAAGCCAAGAUGUGUGAAUCGAGGGGAUUCCAAUGGGACCAAGUCAGAAUUGGGGCAAGUUAAAGUGGAGACUUCUUUCCAACGAGAUGUACCCACGAGUGCAACGGUUCAAGUUAAGAGGCGACGGAAGCUGAGGCAAAGGUUCCAAGAAAGGGACAAUCCGAUUACAAGUCAAGCCGGGAAGAAGCCAAGGCAAUGAGAGAGUUUCGAGACGAAUCAAGUCAGUGCCAUUCGAAAGUCGCAACGAGGGCGUUGCGAGAAUGGGUGGGGGAGAAUGUCACGGGCCAAAGUUCCAAGCCCGUGACCAUGGCACAAGAUGCGGCCCAUGGAGGUUGGUCAAUCAGAUGGGGAUCAUUCAGCCCACAAGAACUGGCCCGAUUCAAAGAAAUGUUGGAGAAGCCUGUCAGAUUGAAGCCUAGAUGGUCCAAUAGCGGAGAAAUGGCAACUUAGGCUAUUUUAGGCAACUAAUCUUAAAAGAUAGAGAGAAUCAUAUCUUGUAAAGAUUAGAUUAGAUUUGAUAAGGCAUAUCUUGUAAAUUCCUUAAAUUAUGGGAUAUCGUUAAUCUCGUCCGUUGAUGUAAAUGUAUCUUAACCGUCGGUUCUGGGGGAGCUCAACUAUAAAUAGAGAGACUCCCCCUCAUUUGUAAACCAUCCAUUGUAUGUUGAAUUCUUAAGAGUAAUAGAAUUCUUGGGCAUUUAUUCAAACACCUUGUGUGCAUUCUUUCUUUGGCUUUCUUUUGCUUACGUUUAGCUUCUUUUGGCACAAACGCUUCCGCUAUACAAAUUAGUGCCUUGGGAGGAGUUCUUAAGGAAUCCUCAUUUUUGAGCGUAAAGGCUGACUUGGGCAAGUUUGGACGUGUAAAUUGCCUAAGACCGCACGGAUUGCGAGAUGAAAGGUCUAGCCCCGUAACACUAGACGGUUCGAUUAGUCUUUCGCCCCUAUACCCAAGUUAGACGAACGAUUUGCACAUUAGUAUCACUGCGGGCCUCCACCAAAGUUUCCUCUGGCUUCGCCCCGCUUAGGCAUAGUUCACCAUCUUUCAGGUCCCGACAGGCAUGCUCUCACUCAAACCCUUCUCAAAAGAUCAAGGUCGGUCGACGGUGCAGCCGUGAGGGAUCCCGCCAAUCAGCUUCCUUACGCCUUACGGGUAUUCUAGCCCAUUGACUCGGACACAUGUCAGACUCCUUGGUCCGUGUUUCAAGACGGGCCGAAUGGAGAGCCCGCAGGCCGACGCUCGGAGCACGCAGGUGCCGAAGCACGCCGAGACAGCGCGUGCUGGAUCCCACAAUUUCGCAGUUCAACAUUCGACCGGGUUGCAUCGUCGGCCCCCAUCCGCUUCCCUCCCGAUAAUUUCAAGCACUCUUUGACUCUUUUUUCAAAGUCCUUUUCAUUUUCCCUUGCGGUACUUGUUCGCUAUCGGUCUCUCGCCCGUAUUUAGCCUUGGACGAAAUUUACUGCCCGAUUAAGGCUGCAUUCCCAAACAACCCGACUCGUAGACAGCGCCUCGUGGUGUAACAGGGUCUGGGCUCACACCCUCUCCGGCGCCCCUGAUUCUCAAGCUGGGCUUUUCCCGGUUCACUCGCGGUUACUAGGGGAAUCCUGGUAAGUUUCUUUUCCUCCGCUUAUUGAUAUGCUUAAACUCAGUGGGUAAUCCCGCCUGACCUAGGGUCUCGAUGAGAUGACGAAAGGGUUUAAGGGUCUCGAUUGACUAACGCGCACGACUCCGAAUGAGGUUGCUUACAGCAUUACCAUCGAUCGUCGUGACGGUUAUGUUAUCGAGGACUCGAAUUUAGGCCACCCGCUGGCUGUGAGAGCACGGGAGGCUAAUUUCUACCCGCAGUCCAAUCAAGUCUCGAGGGAUCAGAAUUGGAUGGGGGCAACGAUGUGUGACGCCCAAUAAAAUGUGCCCUCGACCUAAUGGCUUGGGGCGUAACUUGCGUUCAAAGACUCGAUCGUUCACGGGACUCAGCAAUUCACACCAAGUAUCGCAUUUUGUUACGUUCUUCAUCGAUGUGAGAGCCAAGAUAUCCAUUGCUGAGAGUCAUUCUAUAUACUUUGGGACAAAAGAACAACAUCACUAAGCACUGACACCGCGAACGGUGCGGCGACAGAAGAUGUUCCCUGUUUUCAUUUUGAUUCCUUGGCGCGAUUCACACCGGGGGUUUGUUUGUAAUGGGCAAAGGGACGACAAGACCGGGCGCUUCGAUAUGUGGGGGUGGCGAUAGGCGACGAUGCACCCGCACCACCUCCGAUGUUGUAUACAAUGCAUUCACGGGUCGUUCCGCUAGGCAGGUUUCGACAAUGAUCCUUCCACAGGUUCACCUACAGAAACCUUGUUAUGACUUCUCCUUCAUCUAAAUGAUAAGGUUCAGUGGAUUUCUCGAGAUGUCGCAGGUAGCGAACAGCCCACGUCACCGUGAUCCGAACACUUCACCGGACCAUUCAAUUGGUAGGAGCAAUGAGCGGUGUGUACAAAAGGCAGGGAUGUAGUCAACACGAGCUGAUGACUCACGCUUACUAGGAAUUCCUCAUUGAAGACCAACAAUUGCAAUGAUCUAUCCCCAUCACGAUGAAAUUUCAAAGAUUACCCGGGCAUGUCGGCCAAGGCUAUAGACUCAUUGAAUACAUCAGUGUAGCGCGCGUGCGGCCCAGAACAUCUAAGGGCAUCACAGACCUGUUAUUGCCUCAAACUUUCGUGGCCUAAAAGGCCAUAGUCCCUCUAAGAAGCUAGCCACGGAGGAUCACCUCUGUGUAGCUAGUUAGCAGGCUGAGGUCUCG
rnacentral:lncRNA from 1 species